UUUAGUGCUUCAAAAAACACUUUGCAAGGACAUAUUUUUAUGUUCAUAAAAAAAAUUAUCAUAUGUUCACCUUUUAUUAAAAAGUUAGUUGUUUGUGUGUGUGUGUUUUUUUUUUUUUUCUUGAAGGGUCAAGUAUACAAAGGAAGUUGAUUCAUGCACUAGGCUUGAUCGUAUGAUUUUUAAAACAAUUAUUAUUUUUAUUAACUACAUGUAUUCGGAUACCAAAGAAAUAAUGGCUGAAAGAAUCAAUUGAUGACUUUGGUUGAUUCCUCUAUAAGCCGGCAUCAAGAUCGCAUUAACUUAAUCGAUUGACUUCUGAAAGUUGCACAUAUCGAGAAAAUGUAUGGUGUGGAAUUGCAUGGCUAUGUGAUUGCUCAAUUGCCUGGCAUCUUUUUUUAUAUUUGUCGUGUUGAACGUUGAUUGAAAGCGACUCAUCCAAAAUUGCAAGCUGCUUUAAAUUGAUGCCCACUGUUGUUCUCGUUUAUAGUAAAAUCUAUAAAUAGGGAAAGGUUAAGUUACAUUAUCACGCAACAGACACCACGCGAAUAAGGAUAGUUAGAUUUGAAUAAUAAAAGCAGACGGAUGAAAAUGAAAUGAGACAUAUCAGCAUAGAAUUUUGACAAAACUAGAAAAAUCUAGUCUUGCCCAAUUUCUUCUUAAUAUUGUCUCUUUUUCUUUUCUUUCUUUAAGUUUAUUACCAAAUUAAAAUUUAUGAUUAAGGAAGCAAAGGAAAAAAAAAAAAAAAUUACAGGAGAAGGUGACGGCUACUUGGGGGAAAAGGUGAUAAAAGAAAGAGAAGAGAAAAAAGUUAACUUCUAUUGGGUCAGUUUUGUAAUAUUAGAUUGCUCAUUUCAUUUCCGUCCAUCCGAUUUUAUUAUUGGAAUCCAACGACCCUUAUUCACAUAAUAUUUAGUACAUGAUAAUGUAACUUAACCUUGACCUAUACAUACUGGCAUAAUUGAUUAUUCUAGUUGGAAGGAGGAAAACGUAUUUGAUCUUCCAAUUGAAGCAACAUCUUAAUAGGAGUGAUAAGAAGACGACCAAGAAUAUGUUACAUUUAUAAUCGCUUGAAUGUUGAGUAUUGCAAAAUAUAGCAUAUAUGCCUUCAAAUUUCAAUUUUUAAAAGGAGGAGAAGUAAAUGUUUUCAUUUUACAUUGGAUAAAGAUUCAAGUGAACGACUUUUAAUCUCUCUAUUUUUAUGUUUGUAUUUCCCAACUGUGACCAUGCUCAAUCAAAAUCUUGAUUCUACCAUUCUCGAUGAGAUAAAAAAUUAUUAGUUAUUGAUAUUUACUAACUAUUGUGAUAGAGGCGGUAUAUAACUUUGCUUUUCUUUUCUUUCCUCCCCCAUGUUAUCGUCCAUCCUAAUAUCCCCACUCCAAAUUGCUUGGUGUUACAUAUGAAUGUGUUAUUUUGAAGUAAUUUAAAUGCACUUAAACGUGAACAACUGAACUUUCUAGAACAAUUCCAUUAUGCUUUUGGGACCCCAAUUAAAAUGGCGUUUAAUUUCAAUACACACACACUGCGAUAUUCAUAUUUUUGAACUUUGUGGGAAACAAAAUUGUGGCUCAUUAGCCGAUGGUAUCAUGGUCAUAGGUGUUGUGUUAGUUAAAACGAUGUUUCUAAAAGAUCAUGUGUUUCGUGCUGUUGGUUUGGUGAGCUUUGACCAAGAAGCUGAGGCUGAUAAAAUGCUUAAUUGAUGAUCAAUUAAUGGCUCUAUUGAGUUUUAACUGCAGCAUAAUUCAUACAACUGUAGUUAUCAACCAACUACCUUCUUUUUUUCCUUUUUUUAUUUAUUUUUAUAGUAGAUGUUCGUCUAAUUAGUGUAAGUAUGUUCAAAUAGAAUUUGGUUCUAGCGUUGUGUUGAUAAUCUUUUGCGAUGCUUGCAUUUAUAACAACAUACGAUCAAAAUAUUAGUUAUGUGCCAGACUUUAUAGAUCUAAAUAUAGAAUUUUAUAUGAGAUUUGAUCAA
rnacentral:lncRNA from 1 species